rnacentral:misc_RNA from 1 species
UCCCCGUUACCGGGGCAGUCUACCUAGAAAAAUACAACUAGGUACAAGGGUUGCGCUCGUUGAUGGACUUAACCAAACAUCUCACGACACGAGCUGACGACGGCCAUGCAGCACCUGUCACCAAGUUCCCGAGGGCACAGUUUCCUUUCGGAAGCCUUCUUGGGAUGUCAAGCCCUGGUAAGGUUCAUCGUUUAUCAUCGAAUUAAAGAACACGAUCCACCGCUUGUGCGGGUCCCCGUCAAUUCCUUUAUGUUUUAGUCUUGCGACCGUACUCCACAGGCGGGAUACUUAACGCGUUAGCUUCGCUACUGAAGGGGUCGAUACCUCCAACAGCUAGUAUCCAUCGUUUACAGCGUGGACUAC